AGAGUUUGAUCCUGGCUCAGGAUGAACGCUAGCGGCAGGCUUAACACAUGCAAGUCGAGGGGCAGCACGUCUUCGGAUGGUGGCGACCGGCGCACGGGNGCGUAACGCGUAUACAAUCUACCUUUUACAGAGAGAUACCCCAGAGAAAUUUGGAAUAAUACCUCAUAAUAUUAUUGCUUGGCAUCGAGUGACAAUUAAAGUUUCGGCGGUAAAAGAUGAGUAUGCGUCCUAUUAGCUAGUUGGUAAGGUAACGGCUUACCAAGGCAACGAUAGGUAGGGGUCCUGAGAGGGAGAUCCCCCACACUGGUACUGAGACACGGACCAGACUCCUACGGGAGGCAGCAGUGAGGAAUAUUGGUCAAUGGGCGAAAGCCUGAACCAGCCAUGCCGCGUGCAGGAAGACUGCCCUAUGGGUUGUAAACUUCUUUUAUACAGGAAGAAUAACUCGGACNUGAGAAGAAGUGACGGUACCAUAGGAGGAAGCCCCGGCUAACUCCGUGCCAGCAGCCGCGGUAAUACGGAGGAUCCAAGCGUUAUCCGGAUUUACUGGGUUUAAAGGGUGCGUAGGCGGAUUGAUAAGUCAGUGGUGAAAGCCUGCAGCUUAACUGCAGAACUGCCAUUGAUACUGCCAGUCUGGAGUAUGGUUGAGGUAGCUGGAAUGUGUCAUGUAGCGGUGAAAUGCUUAGAGAUGACACAGAACACCGACGGCGAAGGCAGGUUACCAACCCAUUACUGACGCUGAGGCACGAAAGCGUGGGGAUCAAACAGGAUUAGAUACCCUGGUAGUCCACGCCGUAAACUAUGAUUACUAGUUGUUGGCGAUACAUUGCCAGUGACUGAGCGAAAGCAUUAAGUAAUCCACCUGGGGAGUACGUUCGCAAGAAUGAAACUCAAAGGAAUUGACGGGGGCCCGCACAAGCGGAGGAGCAUGUGGUUUAAUUCGAUGAUACGCGAGGAACCUUACCUGGGCUUGACAUCCCGAUCGUACCUGCUGAAAGGCUGAUUCCCUUCGGGGCUGCUUACAAGGUGCUGCAUGGUUGUCGUCAGCUCGUGCCGUGAGGUGUCGGGUUAAGUCCCAUAACGAGCGCAACCCUUAUCGUUAGUUGCCAGCGGGUCAAGCCGGGGACUCUAGCGAGACUGCCACCGUAAGGUGUGAGGAAGGGGGGGAUGACGUCAAAUCAGCACGGCCCUUACGUCCGGGGCGACACACGUGUUACAAUGGUAGGUACAGAGGGGCGCUAUCCAGCGAUGGAGUGCGAAUCUCAAAAACCUAUCUCAGUUCGGAUCGGAGUCUGCAACUCGACUCCGUGAAGUCGGAUUCGCUAGUAAUCGCGCAUCAGCCAUGGCGCGGUGAAUACGUUCCCGGGCCUUGUACGCACCGCCCGUCAAGCCAUGGAAGUUGGGGGUGCCUAAAGUUCGUGACCGCAAGGAGCGACCUAGGGUAAAACCAAUGACUGGGGCUAAGUCGUAACAAGGUAACC
rnacentral:rRNA from 1 species